AGCUGAGCCAACUGGGGACUGAAAAAAUUCAGAGAGAGAGAACCAUGAAAGUCAAGGGCAUUGUAAGGAUGAAUUUAGAACCUCCAAUGACAGCAGGCCCUCAUUUGGAUGCUUGGAUUCUAAAAUGUUUGCUAAAAGUUGUCCCAGCACUAGAAGACAUUCUAAGCCCAAGCUUAUUCCAAGUCUUGCAAGGACAUUGAAGUUGAUGCAGCUUUCUGGCCCAGAUGGACCUGGGGAAGAACCAAGUAGGAUACUGAGUCUGUGUGGGGAUGCUGGCCAGGGUCCUGAGUCCAGAAGACUGUCCCGCUGGCUCAAAUUGGUGUGCCUUCCAGCAGAUCUUUAAGUAGGUGGGAUAGGUCACCAAAUUCAGUAAGAGAGACUGGAGUUUGAGACUGAGAUUCUCCCAGGAUCUUCUGUGGGAAGGAGGCUGAUGGGCUUAUCUUUUUGGCUAAGAUGGACGUGCAUCACCCAGCAGGUCUCUGCACCAGUGGUGUAAUUCCUCAACUUCAAAAGGAGGAGCAAAAUCUGAGACUAUACUCUCCCAGGAUCUACUGUGAAAUGGAGGCUGCUGUGCCUAUCACACUGGCUCAAGUGGGCAUGUGUCUCCCAGCAGGUCCUUGCACAAAUGGAAAGUUUUCCAACUGCAGCAGGAGAGGCUACAGAAUAGACUGGGCUCCCAUGGGAUCUACUGUGGGACAGAGGCUGAAGAAGCUGGUCUUGGCUCAGAGGAAUGUGUGUAACCCAACAAGUUUCUGCACAGGAGGUGGUAGAAAAAGAAUACAGCACAUCAUCAGGAAUUAGUUUAAACUGGGACGUGGAUGAAGCUGGAAACUAUCAUUCGCAGCAAACUAUCACAAGAACAGAAAACCAAACACCGCGUGUUCUCACUCAUAAGUGGGAGGUGAACAACGAGAACGCAUGGACACAGGGAGGAGGACAUCACACACUGGGGCCUGUCGGGGGAUGGGGGGACUAGGGGAGGGAUAGCAUUAGGAGAAAUACCUUAUGUAGGUGAUGGAUUGAUGGGUGCAGCAAACCACCAUGGCACGUGUAUACCUAGGUAACAAAACUGCACAUUCUGCACUUGUGCCCCAGAACUUAAAAUGUAAUUUAAAAAAAAGAGAGAGAGAGAAAAAAAGAACUGGCUCCACAUCAGAGAUAUUUAGGUUUGGAUCCUGGCUCUCAGAGGUCACUAUGGAUGUGACCGUAUUUAUACAUUUCUACUGCGAUUGUGGUUCUCUUCCUUCUUUUUUCUCUUACCCUUUUCGUUUUGUUUUUUUUCCUUACCGUUCUUCUUCUUCACUUCUAGUUUAAAAAAGUAUCUGUGGAGGAACUGCAUUUUAUCUGCUUUGGCCAUAUUUUCAUUUCUGUAUCAAUCAAAUAUUUCUGGGUAAGCAGGAAACUAAAACUGUUUAAGCUUGGCCCAGGUGCCCACUUGGAACCCUCCACAGCAGAUAGUGGUAUGACAUCUGUAAGAAGGUGCCAUCUCCCGUUCAAAAAGAAUUUCCUAGAAGAAGGAAGGGUACUAUUUUGGGCAGGAAAAAUAAUAGGAACUCACCAUAUUAUUGUAGUUGUUGAUGAUGUGAGGAUUAGGAAGUAAAAUUAAAUAGAGAAACACUUCUGGCCAGUGUAGAAUUUCUGGUUGAGGUCAAGGAGCAUGAAUUUGUAGUUGCAACAACCUGUAAUAUAAUAUUGUAUUAUUUUUAGCAACAAUACUCUGCAAAUCUGAUGCAGAUGAAUUUUUCACAUUGGUCCAGAUUUGAAUUUUUCAGAGAAAUGUAACAGGAGAAAGAUGAUAAUAUUGGCAAUAUAGAGGAUGAAGAGGUAGGUAGAUGAUAUGAUCAAGGGUAUAUAUGAAAGGUGGUGACAAGACGAGAGAGGACUGGGAGAAAAUAGAGGAUUGGAAGGGUUUAUGGGGAAAAUCAGCCUGAAGAAACUGAAUUGGUCUGAGAUCAUAAUUACGGAAUUGAAAGAUUUAAUGUUUCAAGAGUUGAUAAUUAUAAGAUAAUAAGUUUACAUAUCUAUCUAUGGAAGUAGUUUACUAAUGUGGAAUUAUGAUGAUGGAAAUGAGAGAUUAAAAAACAGAUGCUAAGGUUCAUCUGGGUCAUUCACGUACACACUAAUAUCAGCCAAGUCAAGGUUCAUCUGGGUCAUACAUGUACACAUGGAUAUUGCCUGCAAGUCUUGGGGUGAAAGGAGCACAUUGAACCAGAUGCUAAAGGCUUGAGUGAAAGAGAAGACACACAGUUGUUUACACUUGCUAAAUUUAUUACAGUGAUGACUAGGAACUAUUUUAUCCUUAGGGGCUUCAGGCUGAAAAUGUAAUUUCUUUCCACGUAUUUAUCUUCACACCAUAACCCUUUGGAUGUGGAAGUUAUUAAAAAGGAAUUUUACAUGAGUGAUGAUCAAGAACUGAUUGAUCCUUAGGGGCUUCGGGGUGAAAAUGCGAUUUCUUUCCAUGUAUUUAUCUUCGCACAUAACACUUUGGAUGUGGAAGUUAUUAAAAAGGAAUUUUACAUGAGGUAAGAAUGGGUUAAUGAGUCAUAAAUAUGCUUAGCACAAUGCUCAUUAUAUAGCUAACAUUAGAUAUUGUGAGACAUCCCCUGGAAGUGACAUCCCCUGACUUAAAAGAAUUUGUAAUUUGCAGAAGUUAGGUUUACACAUUCAAAACAAUUUGAGAAUAACAGACUAGUAUAGGGUACAAAAAGAACAGGUGAGUAAAUGUGUGCAACAGGUAUACGGAGAAGGGAUAGGCCAAUUUUAUUAGGUUCUUAUACGAACUUUGAAGAAAAGAAGUGAUGGAUACUGCUUUAGGAACUCCUUUAUUUUUAUGG